UGGGGAAUAUUGGGCAAUGGGGGAAACCCUGACCCAGCAACGCCGCGUGAAGGAAGAAGGCUUUCGGGUUGUAAACUUCUUUUACCAGGGACGAAGGACGUGACGGUACCUGGAGAAAAAGCCACGGCUAACUACGUGCCAGCAGCCGCGGUAAUACGUAGGUGGCAAGCGUUGUCCGGAUUUACUGGGUGUAAAGGGCGUGUAGGCGGAGCAGCAAGUCAGAAGUGAAAUCCAUGGGCUUAACCCAUGAACUGCUUUUGAAACUGUUGCCCUUGAGUAUCGGAGAGGCAGGCGGAAUUCCUAGUGUAGCGGUGAAAUGCGUAGAUAUUAGGAGGAACACCAGUGGCGAAG
rnacentral:rRNA from 1 species